UACACUCCCCAGAAGGCGCUGGCGCCGUGCGGGGCGUACCCGAGUGUACUGCUCUGGGCAAGGGCGGAACAUCCGACGUCGCCCUGAGGUUUUUCUUUGGCUGGUUGUGCGCCUGUGCGAAAAAAGGCCUCGAUCCCUGGUUUGAGGACGCGUUUAGGAAAGUCUAGGGCGCCACCGUCCAGGGUCUGGGGUGCGCCAAGUGGGGAAGGUGUGGGGCUCCUUUUUGCGCCUUUGCGCCUACGGGCGAUGCCUGCGAGCGAUCGUCCCCGCCUCCUCGGGCCUCGGCGUUGACGGAAAUAGAAUGGGCGGCCCUGUGGGGCGUCCGCCGGGAUCGCCGCAAGAGCCCUCAAGACCUUCCCAGUAAGGGCCUUGAGGGUGUUUCCACCAUAAUGCGCGGGAGACCGAGGUUCCGAGGGCCUGCCCGCAGCCCAGGGUCCUCCAGCCGUGCCGGGGGACUGAGGGCGGAGGAGGUGCUGUUCCAGCGGGCCACUCCCAACGGGUGCGCGCGCGCCCUCUUCCUCCCCGGCCCCCCACGGGUUGGCAUGGGACCAGCGCCGCUACUGAUGUCUUUGGCGAGUGAAGGGUCCACUUGCCGAAGCCGGGCAGUCCUACCCCCAAGUUCCUGGAGCCCCAGCGUUAGCGGAUGAGUGUGCCUUGGGAUUCCUGCCGCUUUCAUUUCCUUGUCUGGGAUGAUGGGAGUCACUUUCAUUUUGCGCCUUCGUGCUCCAGAUUACUGGCUGGACACCUGAGAUAUCGUCAGCAGUACCAGAUUCCUCAUCACCACCAACUCCAGCAGUCAGCUGCCCUCAGAGAUGGAAGAGAGGGCACGAGCAAGUGAGGUUCUGGUCCCCGCAGCACUCAAGAAUGGAACCAUGGGAACUAGCAUGCAGUGAGGAUGCUGGUGGCUACCUUCUGGCUCCCAGCUCUACGAUGGGUAACGUCAUUGUACCAUUUUAUGUACGAAGAUGAAGGACCCUGACAACAAAACCUAAAACAAACCCUCACACUAGAGCAACAAAGAGGAAAGCUCUCUUCUCCAGCAGUCGUGGGCGUGUACUGAGACCGCCCUUCCUUUUGUUUUCACGUGUGGCAGAAACUCAGGUUGGUCCCCAGGAGACAGGACCAACGCAUCAAUAUCCUGAUGUGCCAGCCACACCUAGACGACCCAAAGACAGGCAAGUCUGGGAAAGUACAUUUUGUGCGGUCCAGUUUAGCAGGGAAAACAGAUGGCUUAGCAAAGUGUCAGAAAACAAUUCACACUCCAGAAAAAUUUAGCCUAGGGGCUUGCAAACCUGAGGUUAACCCCUUUACAAAACACGGAGAGGUCAAUCCAGGGCACAGGCCUCCAGAGGUAGAGCCAGGCUCUGUGCCAAAGCACCGUCCCUCCUAACUCGCCCCUCUCAUCAGGCUAUGUCCUUUUAUGUAUUUGUUUAUUUAUUUAUUUAUUCAUUAAAAACAUUGUUUUAAUGUUUA